rnacentral:sRNA from 1 species
UUAAUAUCAGCAGCAGUGUUUGCAACAUUAA